UACGUAGGGUGCAAGCGUUAAUCGGAAUUACUGGGCGUAAAGCGUGCGCAGGCGGUUGUGCAAGACCGAUGUGAAAUCCCCGGGCUCAACCUGGGAAUGGCAUUGGUGACUGCACGGCUAGAAUGUGUCAGAGGGGGGUAGAAUUCCACGUGUAGCAGUGAAAUGCGUAGAGAUGUGGAGGAAUACCGAUGGCGAAGGCGGCAUCCUGGACCAUUACUGACGCUGAGGCGCGAAAGCUAGGGGAGCAAACGGG
rnacentral:rRNA from 1 species